rnacentral:rRNA from 1 species
CGUGUAGGCGGUUGGUCAAGUCUGGUGUGAAAGCCCGGGGCUUAGCCCCGGAAGUGCGCUGGAAACUAGCCAACUUGAGCGCGAUAGAGGAGGGUGGAAUUCCUGGUGUAGCGGUGAAAUGCGUAGAUAUCAGGAGGAACACCGGCGGCGAAGGCGGCCCUCUGGGUCGUUGCUGACGCUGAGACGCGAAAGCGUGGGGAGCAAACAGGAUUAGAUACCCUGGUAGUCCACGCUGUAAACUAUGGGUACUAGGUGUUCGGGGUGUUGACCCCCUGAGUGCCGACGCUAACGCAUUAAGUACCCCGCCUGGGGAUUACGGCCGCAAGGCUAAA